GCACAGGCAUACUGCGGGAAGAGUAUGGAGCAUGCGCAGAACGCAUCAAUGAUUGAGGUGGACGUUUCUUUUGCAGCUCGGAAAAAAUUUCUGAUAACGUCGGACGAAGAGGUGCAAAAAACAGGCAGCUAAACAGAUACGUUUCGAAAGCAUGUUAGGUCCACACUGUAUUGAGUGAAGAAGCAUCAUGUCUGAAGGAGGCAAAGGGCUGGGAAAAGGCGGCACCGCCAAGUGCUCCAUGAUAGCAAGCAGGCAUCACGAAAGUAGCCAUCCAGCGUCUGGCUCGCCGUGGCGGGGUCAAGCGCAUCUCGGGCUUGAUCUACGAGGAGAGCUGCGGGGUGCUGAAGGUUUUCCCGGGGAAUGUGAUCAGGAAUGCGGUCACCUGCACUGAACACGCCAAGCGCAAGGCGGUCACUUGCAUGGAUGUGGUGUACGCUCUGAAACGCCGGGGCUGCGCUCUCUGUGGAUUCGGCGCCUGAACAAAUCGACCCUUUUCCAGCCAAUCCAAAGGCUCUUUGCAGAGCCUCCCAAACCCUCCCAUUGCGAGCCGAGACCUGAGAAUGGGGUAGGCAGAACACAGGGAGGGUAUAACGUCCUGCAACUGGCUGUAUCAUCUGUAAUAUAUCACAUCACAACUUGUAAUUCUGCACAGACACUAAUGUUACAUAUUGCAGUAUUUGUAUCAACCCUUCCAGGAAUGUGACUUUGUUCAGUUCUGAUUCUGGGUCCCCUGCCGAUGUUUUAAUGGCGUGUUCUUCCCAUCUGCCUGUUACACAUAGCGCAGGCAGCAAUUACAAACUGUGUACGGCCUCAAUAUAACCUGAGUGAAAUAAAAACCUACGAAUGAUG